rnacentral:rRNA from 1 species
AGAUUGAACGCUGGCGGCAGGCCUAACACAUGCAAGUCGAGCGGCAGCACGGGUACUUGUACCUGGUGGCGAGCGGCGGACGGGUGAGUAAUGCCUAGGAAUCUGCCUGAUAGUGGGGGAUAACGUUCGGAAACGGACGCUAAUACCGCAUACGUCCUACGGGAGAAAGGUGGGGGAUCUUCGGACCUCACGCUAUCAGAUGAGCCUAGGUCGGAUUAGCUAGUUGGUA